GGCUAAGUGCUUAUAUAAUCCUUUUUUCUAGAUAUGAUUAAUAAAAGUACAAUUAAAAUUAAUUUAAGCAAAAUUGGAAAUUUAUUGACUGAAAAUAUUGUAUCAGGCCUGCCUUAAGGGAAAAGGUAGAAGUCAGCCUUGUCAAUGACUAGAAACUGUGCAUUAGCAAAAAUCAAGUAUCUGUCUCAAUUUCUCACCUCUGUUCCUUUAUACUCAUCAAAUUUUCUCUCCUUACAAUUAAAAAUAUUUUUUAUGACUGAAAACAUAGUUAAUGGCAAUUUCUGGGUUUUAUAACUUAUACCUUCAGCUCACAGGACUGAGGUCUUUCUUCAUGUCAGCUCAUAAAUGCCCAAGAAGGAACUCAGAUUAGCUUAGUCUGGCUCAGAUGCCCACCUUUAGGUUAGGACAAAUCAGUGUGAGUAGAGUUUGUGUUAGGUAUUACAAAAUUAAAGAUUUUUAUUUAAUUAUAUGAAUUUUAAUGGAGAAUAGGGAGUUGAUUAUCAGAAAAGUUUGGGAUAGGUCACACACAGCUAUCCAGAAGAUUAUUUGCUACAGUUUGAAUGUUUAUGUCCUCUCCAAAAUUCAUGUGUGGAAGCAUAUUGGGGGAACAUGUCCCCAAUAUUUCAACAUAGGCCCUUUCUAUUUUCCCUAGGUGUUGACUGGUCUGAGAAAUAAAGAGAAAGAGUACAAACAGAGGAAUUUUACAGCUGGGCCUCUGGGGGUAACAUGACAUAUCGGUUCCUUAGACUGAAGUAAGAAGUGUGGUAUCAUGUGGAUGGAUAAUCCCUGGGAUGGCGGUGCUGAUAAAGUUGAACAUAGUUGGUGAUGAACCCAAAUGCAAUAAGGGCUAGUGUGGUAGUUCUCAGGGAGAACAAGCAUCUACAAGGCACCAAUUUCAGAUGGCAUGAAAAUAAUGAGCUUCAGCCACUCCCUCCGUUCAGGGUCCCUGACUUCCCGCAACACAGAAGCUCUCUAAUACAGAAAAGGAGAAGUCACCAACAGAGAGGAGAAGAGCAUGUGAAGACAGAUGCAGAGAAUGGAAUUAUGCAGCCACAAGCCAAGGAACAUCUGGAUGCACCAGAAGCUAUUAAAAAAAAAAAAAAAAAAAAAAAAAAGAUUCUCAUCAGAGUCUUCACAGACAGUGCAGCCCUGCCAAUACCAACACUUUGGUUUCAUAUGCUUGGCCUCCAAAACUGUGAGAGAAAAAAUUUCUACUUUUGUAACCCACCUAGUUUGUGGCUCUUUGUUACAGCAGCCACAGGAAACUAAAUAUAAGCAUCAUACACUGAUUCUUAAGGGGAAGACUAAUUUCUGGAUCUCUUGAAUGUAGGAUGUAAUAACAAAUGUCAGCAGAUUUUAAAAAUAUAAAUGUAACUCUAUAUACCUGCUGAUUUUUACACCUUGAACAGUGUUGUAAGUUUUGGUUUUUCCUAUGAAUUAAAUUAUAUAUUAUAAAAUAUUUCAUGUUGUAAUGCCUGAAAUUAUAUCAAGAAUCUGCAACAUGGGGUUGAAUUAUUUCUUUUAGCACCAGUAAUGGAAUGAAUCUGCUAAUUUAGAAAUUGGGUAUAAUAACUAUUUUACUCCAUAUCUAGUGUUUUACCUUUUCUACAGUUCAACUAAGAAAUAAAUUGCUUUCUUAGUAGGCAAUGAGAUUUUUGGCUUAUCUAAGAAAAUAUAGCAGUAAAAAGGUCACAGCAAUUUGCUUUAUGGGCCACAUGUUACUGGUAAAAUGAAAUCAUUCUAGCAUAUGGCUUUUAGAGUAGAAACACACAAGCAAACAAAAAUUCUAAAUGUCAGAGCAACUUCAUUUUAGCACACACAUAUUUCCAAAAUGUACAGAGAACAAUAAUAAAAAUAAAGUUCGGAACAUAAAUUCAGUUAAGAACUAUACAUUUCCAAUUGAGAAAAAAUCAAGAGCAGACAGUUUUGCAAGAUUUCUCAAUCAGAUUUUUCAUUAUAGGAAAGCUGUUCCUUUAUAUUUUAAUACAUGUAGAUAAAAUCUUUUCACCAUAGUCACAGGAAGUUUCAAUGUAUUUACUAGUGGUAUAUUCAGUAACUGUGUUGGAGGAUGAAAAAGAAAAUAAGCUGUAGUGCUACCUUUGGCAUGGAUAAAUAAUGCCUUUUUUAUUUUCCAGUAUAUCAUGCUACUUUCUGAUUUUAUACACAUUUGAAUCAAGUUAAUAUUUUGAUUUUUCUUCCUGCCAAUUCAAUAUAUAUUAUAGUCUUUAUCUGAAUAUGGCUGAUUUUUCCCCAAAUUUGUAUAAAUGUGUUUAUAAAACUAAUUUAAGCACAUGUAACGCAAAAGGAAAGGCCCAAUAAGACAAUGUAAUGCACUUGUUCUCACUGAAAGGGAACUCUGAAGACGUGGUAAAGGAAAUAACCCUGGAAAAGAAAUGGAUAUAUGGAUUACUUUGAAGGAAUUUUUUAUUUGUUUUGCUUUAUUUUCCCCCACUAAGAUAAUCAGAAUUUUAUUUACUUUCUGAAACAAAUAUUUCUUCUCUCCAGUUUUCUUGUAUUGCUUUUUCAUUUCCAAUAUUUGUAACUUCUUUAGAUAAUUAACAAGGACCUAAACAUUUGUCUGUUCCUGCUAUAAAGAUGAGGCUGCCUGAACAGAGAGGCCAUUGAACAAAUGGAGAAAUAUGAGGUGUUAUGAAGUGAUGGCAUCCUAAGUGGUGAAGUUAUUAUAAGAACCAAUAGAAGUACCACAGUAAAGGAGAAUCAAGAUUUGCAUGAGAAGAGAGUUAGUGAUAGAAAUUCAGAAAGAGUUAAUCUGGAUUCAUUUGCCAGUCUUAAUAGGUACAAUUAAUAAUUCAUUUCUAGGUCUUUGGUAUAGUCUACUUGUUCCCAUUUUAUAAUAGAACUUUCUUUAGCAUUUUUCACUUAAUCUAUUGUGGGAAUGUUUUGGGAACACAUUUGAGCAGUGAAGAUUAAAAACCACACCACUACCCUAUAGACAUAUAAACAUGUAUUAGUUAAACUACUACUUUAGAUCAGGAGUCCGGAAAACUAAAGCUUAUAACCAAAUCCAUCCCACAGCCUGUUUUUCUUCUUUAUUGUGGUAAAAUACAUAUAAAAUUUACUAUCUUAACCAUUACUAAUUGUCCAUUGCAGUAGUAUGAAGUUGUUCACAUUGUUAUAUAAUCAUCAUCACAAUCUGUCUCCAGGACUCUUUUCAUUGCAAAAUUGAAAGUUUGGCCUAUGAAACAAAAAUGUCCCAUUUUCCCCUCCACCAGCCCUUAGCAAUCACCAUUCAAUUUUUGUCUCUCUGAAUUUGACUACCCUAGAUACUUUAGAUAAGUUGAAUUAUACAAUAUGUGUCUUCUGUGAGUAGCUUGUUUCACUUAACCUGGUGUACUUAAGGUUCAUUUAUGUUGCAGCAUGUGUCGGAAUUCCUUCCCUUUUUAAGGUUUGAUAAUAUUCUCUUGUUUGUAUGUUCCACAUUAUCCAUUCAUCAAUCAAUGGACACUUGGAUUGCCUUCACAUUUGAAGUAUUACAAAUGAUUCUGCUAUGAAUAUGAAUGUACAAACAUCUAUCUGAGUCCCUACUUUACACUAUUUAGGGUAUAUACCCAGAAAUGAAAUGACUAGAUCAUAUGGUAUCCCAUUUUUAAUUUUUUUGAGGACACGUCAUACUAUUUCACAUCAUAGCUGCACCAUUUUACAUUUCAACCAACAAUGUACAAGUGUUCAACAUUCUCAGCAUCUUCAAAAGCAUUUGUGAUUUUCUGGAAUUAAAAAAAAGAAAAACAGCCAUACUAGUGGAUGAGGUAGAAUUUCAUUGUUGUUUUCAUUUGCAUCACUUUAAUGAUUAGUGAUGUUGAGCAGCUUUUCAUAUGUUUAUUGUCCACUUGUAUAUCAUUCUUGGAGAAAUGUGUAUUUCAGCCCCACAUCUAUUUUUUAAUUUAGUUAUUUAUUUUGUUGUAGCUGUUAUUGCUGAGUUGUAAAAGUUCUCUACAUAUUUGAUGUAUUAACCUCUUUUCAGACGUAUAAUUUGCAAAUAUUUUAUUCUACUUUGUGUAUUGCAUUUUAAUACUGUUGAUUGCACACUUUUUUUCUCUGUAGAAGUUUUACUUUUGAUGGGUCAAUUUACCUACCUUUUUUGUUGUUGUUGUUGCUUGUGCUUUUGGUGUUAUGCCCAAUAAAUCAUUACCAAACCUAAUGUCAUGAAGUUUUCCUCUAUGAUUUUUUUUCUAAGAGUUUUGUUUUGUUUUGUUUUUGCUUUUACAUUUAGGUCUUGAAUCUAUUUUGAGUUAAUUUUUUGUAUAUAAAUAUAAAGUGAAAGUUUUAGUGUCAUUCUUUUCAUAUGGAUACUCAAUUUCCCCAACACAAUUUGUUAAGAAGACUGUCCUUUCCUCAUUAAAUAAUCUUGACACUGUUGUUGCAAAUCAGGUGACCAGAUAAAUGAUAUAAAUGAGGGUUAUUUCUGGGCUCUCUAUUUUAUUCCUUUCUCAUAUGUGUGUGUGUGUGUGUGUGUGUAUGUGUGUAUAUAUAUAUGUGUGUGUGUGUAUGUAUAUAUACACACAUACACAUAUGAAAUAUAUAUUUUAUAUAUUUUUAAAAUUUAAUUAUAUAUAUUUUUUUCUUUUUGAGAUGGAGUCUCGCUCUGUCACCCAGGCUGCAGUGGAACAAUCUUGGCUCACUGCAACCUCCACCUCCCACGUUCAAGCAAUUCUCCUGCCUCUCUCAAUACAGGUGCACAUCACCAACCCUGGCUAAUUUUUCUAUUUUUAUUAGAGACUUGGUUUCACCAUGUUGGCCAGGCUGGUUACGAACCCCUGACCUCAAGUGAUCUGCCCACCUCAUCUUCUCAAAGUGCUGGAAUUACAGGUGUGAGCCACCAUGUCCGGCCUGGUUUAUAUGUUUCUGCCAGGACCAUAAUACUUUAAUUACUGUAGCUUUGAAAUAAAUUUGAAAUCAGGACAUAUGAAGACCACAGCUUUUCUGAUAAUAAUAAAAAGGGAGGGGGCAAAAAUUAUUUGAAGAAAUAUUGAGAAAAUAAUUGCCAUUUUUUA
rnacentral:lncRNA from 1 species